rfam:Charadrius vociferus contig8117, whole genome shotgun sequence.
CCAAAGGCUCUUUUCAGAGCCACCCACGUUGUCGAGAAAGAGCUUG